GAUGAAGAACGCAGCGAAAUGCGAUAAGUAAUGUGAAUUGCAGAAUUCAGUGAAUCAUCGAAUCUUUGAACGCACCUUGCGCCCUUUGGCCAUUCCGAAGGGCAUGCCUGUUUGAGUAUCAUGAACACCUCAACUCUUCAUGGUUUUCCAUGAUGAGCUUGGACUUUGGGGGUCUUGCUGGCCUGUGGGUCGGCUCCUCUCAAAUGAAUCAGCUUGCCGGUUUUUGGUGGGCAUCACAGGUGUGAUAACUAUCUACGCUUGUGGUUUUCCACCAGGGUAACCUUCAGCAGUGGAGGUUCACUGGAGCUUACAAAUGUCUCUCCUCUGUGAGGACAGCCCUUUGAAUGUUUGGUCUCAAAUCAGGUAGGACUACCCGCUGAACUUAAGCAUAUCAAUAAGCGGAGGA
rnacentral:misc_RNA from 1 species